UGAAGGGUAAAACUAUAAAUUUUUAUAGGAUAUACAAUAGAAAUUUUAUAUUUCUAAAGGAUAAAACUCUUAAAAAGAUAUAAAUUAGAAUUAAAUAAAUUUAAAGAGGUAAAACUAUAGUUGUUGCAGGAGGCACGACCACUGUCAUGAGCGAUCGUCGCUUGCAUAAGGCGUCGCAGUAGCCAUCUGUGGCUAUGCACAAGGCACUAUCGUCACCACUGUGUGCAACUGCCACGUGCUCAUGGCCUUCCUGCUCAUGCAUGGUUGUGCACGUGUGUCGCCUAGUGACCCCCAUGAUCGUUGCAACGUGACUAUGCAUACACACACGUGCUUAUCGAUAUUGUUGACUUUCAACGUCUAAUGACACUAUCCAUGGCUAACUGCAACCAACACAGUUAUUGCGGUUAGCGAUGGUGCUACUGUAGCCACCACAUAGGACGAUAGUGUGCAGCCACCGUAGCCAUCAUGGGCAGUGGCACUGUUAUAUCCUCCGCACAUAAUGGUGUAAUAUUGUUAUCGUAAAGCUUUCGUAUCCUACAAUGCUUGCAUUGUAUACGUAGCUAUUUCUCGUGAUUUGGCUGACAGACCAUCGAAAAUUGCACCCCUCAAUAAUACUGUUGCCGACAGUAAGUUAUCGACAGUGGUCCGUCAAUCAAGCACGAGAAAUCUUACAUCACUCGUAAGCAGCGGGUGAUAUGAUAGACCGGAUAGAAAAGUAUGCAGAUAAAUCAUUUAUACAUCGUAAAUAAAAUCGAUUAAUACCUUUCAUAAGGGAAACGUGCAAACAAAUAAGUAUAUCUCUUUACUAAAAAUUCUAUUCCGAAGUAAAUAAUAAUAAUAAUAAUAAAUAAAUAAAUAAAUAAAGUGGCGCCGCAUCCUUGUCGCCAAUUCGAUACAUUGGAGGAUUACGAACAUUCCUGCUGUUGAGUCGCCACAGGUGAAAGGGCGGCCGCCUCCCCUCCCCUCCGUUCCUAAAUACAUCUCCGAAACACUCUCCUUGCAGCUCUUCUUCCCUCCGUUGUCCUGGUACCUACGCCCUCACGACCGCGCCGAUGGAAGCAGUGGCCUCUCUGCGAGUUCCCACGGGCCAAGGCGCGCGCCAGUCCCUCGGCGGCCCGAGUUCUUCCCGCCCGAGGUCGGGAUGGGGCCCAGUCUUCGUGAAGACCGCCUCCGUCCGCCCUCCCCGAUCGUCCUUGAACAUCGCUUCCACGGAUUCAUCUCCCCUGGAGGUACUUCUUUUCGAUUGCUCUUUUGGAAAUUUUAUCAAACGGAAAGACUGCGCCCCUUUUCAACCCAGCUUAACUCAUUGCGUUAGCAUUCCUGCAAGCUACUGUUUCUCUGCCGGCAGUCGCAUAAGAAGGCUGCUUCUUUUAAAAGGCUUGUACACAUAUUUGCAUGGUAUCCUCGGAUUACCCAGUUUCUAAUUGUCUCAUGCCAUGCUUCGACUCUACGAACCAUAAGAAUCUUAGAGUUACAAACCUACCUAUUUGUUUCUUUCUUUGGGACGCCAGAAGGUCUAGGAUUGUUGGGAUGCUUUAUUCUUUUGUUAAAUGAGAUGGCUUUCGAAUGGUUUAUUAAAUUAGGUUCAUUCAAUUUCUUUAGUUGAUUCUAAGGGAAUUCAGUUUUCUUUAGGUGAAGAAGAAUAAUGUGGGAAAUCUCACCGAUUGGGAUUUGUCAGCUAGUACAAUGUCUCUGUCACCGUUGGAUGGACGUUAUAUGCAGAAAGUCAAGGACUUACGCCCAUUCUUUAGCGAAUAUGGAUUGAUCCGUCACCGAGUAUUGGUUGAGGUUAGUGUUCUAGUCCAACUAGCUUGGUAAUCAAGUCAAUUUCCUCUCUUUGAAGCUUAAUUCUGUUGGACCUUUUAUUUGGUCGAGUAUAAUUGACAUCAACCGUUUCAUUUUAUUUAUCCUGUGUUUGAUAUACUGGCCAGUUAACACUCUUGAAUCAUCACUCAUUUUUCUAUCAUUUUAUAUGUGAGAUUUGUUUCCAAGUGUGUUAUGGUAGUUUUUGAUAUACUUGUCCCUACCUCUUCUUUUUAAAUUCUCAAUAACCAAGUGAUCAUAUUGAUUUAUGAGUUUGUGAUCUUAUUAUUCUGAUGACUGCUGCUCUGAAAUAGUCCAUAUCUCUGCCACUAUGCCAUGUGAUCAUUAGGAAUGUAGUACUAAACUCUAUACUGUGUAUAUGGCUCAGACCGUGUUGUAUACUAAUUCAGUUCUCUGCAUAAAGUGCAUAAAUUGAUUGUUUUAUUGUCUUAUAAGAAGCCCUAGAACCACCUAAUAUACUUGUGGAAAUCUUUGGCAUACAAGAUUUAGGAACUCUUCAUUGCAUCUGAAGGUUAUAUAUAUCUAACAGUCACUUCUCAUAAGUGAGUAUUUAGUAUUCUGCAUGUUUAGCUCCCUCUUUUGCUUUACUAUGUAAUUGGCUGGUUCAUGUAGAGGCCUCCUGAGCAUUUUGAUAUGUGAAGUGUACUUUUUUAUUCCUAAGCUGUUAUAGUAACAUAAUAAGCUUAGUCCAUUUUCGCCCUUAUAAAACAAUGGACAUAUAUCUGUUACUUUAACCAUCAAUGAAACUUUCUUUCAUCUGUUCAUCUAUGUUUUAUAUCACGAUAUAUUGAACUGAGAACUACUUUAGGGUGGUGAACUGAGAAGAACUCAAAAGUGUUAGACUGCUAAGAUGGCUAUUUGGUGUGCUAGGAAGGACAAUGCUGAAAAUAAGUGGCAGCCUUUAAGUUGAACUUACAAUUGAAGUGAUUCACUUUUAGAGUUUUGUGUAGCGAAAAUGUUUGGGGAGGAGGAAGUUUGCCUUAGAAAAAUCUUCCUUAGAAACACUGGAGCGGAACUCAAGUUCUGCAGAAGUGGUCUGGGGCUAAAGGUCAGAAUCAUUUUUCAACUUAUUGCAAAAUAAACAACCCCCAAGUGCAUAGGAAGAAUGAUUGUUACAUUAGUGAAGGAGAAGAACAUUGACUGAAUAUUGGCUUAUGCAACACAGGAUCGAGGUAGACUUGGAGGAGUAACUCAAACAUUUUUGUGGAGUUGGAAUUCACAACAUCGUCAAUCAGAUGCAAACAUUAUGAUUUCAGCCUUACAAUUGUUUCCGAGUGAUGAACUUACUAAGAUAUCAUUGUGGAGGUAGAAUUUGUAUUAGAUUAAUUUAAAUCCUUAUCAUGACAGACACUUCAAAGUGCUUACACAUCCAUGUCUGUGACCAAAUCUCAAAUAUUUUUCAACUUGUGUUGGAUAGAUCGGAGCAUACUAUGUCUUACACCAUUAUACUUAUAUAUGUUAAUCUAUUACAUAUAUAUAGAAUGUCAAAUAAUUGAGUUUAUAUAUGUGGAUCAGAUUGCUGAUUAACUCCUCAAUGUUUCUUGUAUGUGUUUGAAGUAUUUUUUAUGAAUUCUUUUAUUCAUAUGAAUGUUGGUUAUGUGUAUCGUGAAUUAUAUAUGACAUAUAUUGCCUAAUUUGUACAAAGUAAAAUAUCAUAAUAUAAAAUUCAUAUGUUAGUUGUUCUGUUUUAUGCACUGUUUUGUCCUACUUUUACAAGAUUUUUGAAGAUGGCAUGUCCAUAUCAUGUUGGUAUUGAUUACUUCCAGAUAGAUGCAAUAUCCAAAUUCCACAAUGUUUUAUUAUCAAAUAUAAUAUUUUUCUCUCUUUUCUUAUGUUUGAAAAUGCUUAUAAGCUGAAAUAAGAUUAUGCACUGGUGGUAUGUACUCAUAAUUUCUGGAGUAAGUUUUUUUUUUUCAGUAAUAGGAAAGUGGAAUAAGGUUUUUCUGUUGGUGUUAACAUUAGCUGCUUUUGUUAAGUAGGUUUUGAAUGGUUCUUUGCAGGUGAAAUGGUUGUUAAAGCUUUCAGAAGUCCCAGAAAUUACAGAGGUCCCGCAGUUCAGUCUGGAUGCUCAGUCUUUCUUGGAAAAAAUUAUUCAUGAUUUUGAUAUAAAUGAUGCCUUAGAAGUAAAAAAAAUAGAAAAAAUAACUAAUCAUGAUGUCAAGGCAGUGGAAUACUAUUUGAAGCAAAGAUGUAAAUCUCAUCCAGAAAUUGAAAAGGUUAGUUUUAUUUUCUUAACUGCCAGGAGGGGCUGUUUUGUUUGUCCUUAAAUUGUUUACCGUGUGAUUUUAACAAUAUUAGUAUAUGACAAUGUGUUUUUGUUGUUCUUGAUUAGUGUGAUACUCUUCUUUCAGGUGCUUGAGUUUUUUCAUUUUGCUUGUACAUCCGAGGAUAUAAACAAUUUGGCUCAUGCAUUAUCACUAAAAGAAGCUAUGAACAAGGUCAUUUUUCCAGUCAUGGUUGAUUUAUGUGAAGCAAUACGUGUCAUGGCAAAGGAAAAUGCGCAUAUUCCUAUGCUGUCGCGCACUCAUGGGCAGGUACUUCACCUAUUAUAGAGGAGAUGUAGUUUUUUUUCUUUGAUGUUACCUUAAGUUGCUUAGUCUUUCCUAGUUAAAUAUUUUAAAUUUUGUGUCAAACAUUUGGCCUUUCUUGCUUCUAAUAACUCAUAUCAAUUUCCAUUAACCUUUCUUUCUUCUAGAUCUUAUACAAAUUUGCUUGGUACUUUUAUUAGUGAAACUAACACAUUAAAAAUGUUAAAUCACAUAAUAUUAGGAUAACUUAACAGUACAGCUCAUGUCACUUUAUGUGGUCAAGAAAUGGGUUAAUAGAUGUUAUGGUUUCUAAGUUGUUGAUCUCUUUCUUGUCAAAUUUUCAAUGAUGUAAUUACUUCUUGCAAAAUUUUAGAGUUUAAAAAGUUCCAUUCUGUUUAUAAAUCUCUAAUGAUGCAUUGACGAAAGGAACAUCUAAACUCACUUUAUUCAUUAAAAUAAAUUUAUGACAUGUUUCAUGCUUUAUACAAUGAAAUUUUAUUUAGAAUAGUUUCCAAUCACUUACCUGUGCUGGCCAGCAUGAAAACUGUGGUACCAUGCCAGCAUGUUGUGGGGGCACACUGUAAAAUUUAAAACCUUGAUCAUGAGAGGGCAACAUCAUCAUUCUAAAAGUGUGGGUUACUUGGCAAUGAGUUUUCCUGAGUAGGUAAUGCUACACUAAAUUUUUUUGUCAUUUUCAAAGAAAUUUUGAACAAUCUUAAUAUGGACAGUUAGUGCUAUUGAUUUUUGCCAUAAACAAUUGUUUAUUCAUUCUGAAACAAAAAUUAAUCAGUUCUUUCUUUGUCGUGUUUAGCCGGCUUCACCCACUACUUUGGGAAAGGAAAUGGCAAAUUUUGCUGUCAGACUAAGUGAGCGUGGUAAGGCUUUCUCCAAAAUUCAUGUAUUGGGCAAGUUUGCUGGUGCAGUUGGAAAUUAUAAUGCUCAUAAAGUUGCAUACCCUGAUAUCAACUGGAAAAGCAUUACUGCAGAAUUUGUACAAUCUCUAGGAGUAGACUUCAAUGCUUAUGUGACACAGGUAUAUUUUUCAUAUACAUUAUUGCAUGAUUAUAUACUCACUCAAGAUUAAUAGAUAUCUUGCCCAACUUAAUUUUUGUUGCAAAUGAUUUCUUUUCAUCAUACUUAUCUUCAAUAACUAGUAGCAGCAAUUGAAUUCAUUUCCUUUGACAAGGUAUCUUUACAUGGAAAAGGACCUCUGGUCAUGCUGAGUUUUUCAAGUCUAUAGUAUUGUGUUUCAUUAUUCUAUUACAAGUUUUUCGGUUUUUGCCGCUAAUUGUAUUGUUUAGAUGCAUAUCUCAUCUGAAAUUUCAUCUGAUUUAAACACUCAAAUUGACAUCUUUGUACAGGAGAAAACAUGACAAUCUCAAUCUUCCAAAUUCGAUCAUCAUGUAGAUUUGCCUUCAAAAUUUGAAAACCUCAUCUUCUGUUUUCUCUCUCUUUUAAUUUGCAACAUCUUUGAAGUUUCUGCUCAAUUACAAGAUGCCGCCUUGUUAUUUUUGCAAUUUUUUUCCAAUCAUCCUUAGACAUGUAAGUAUAUAUUCUACGUCUUGUACAUUACUAGAUCACAAAGCAGAAUAGGCAAAAAAAAAAAAAGCAUGCUUAAUUUGGUAGAAAAAACAUAUUGUUCUUUGUGUUAUGCAAUUACAUGAUCUUGAUAUUGUUUGUCUUGUUGCUCACAAGUACCCACCAAUUCAUCCCUAACCCUAACAUGAUAUUAUUUAACAUCUCUAAGUCACAAACAUCCUUGGCCCAGAUUUUUGAGCUAAUAAUUACAUCGUUGCUUCAGUUGACAUUCCCUGUGAAAUAUCUUCUAAAUACUUCAAGCUGGUUAAAGCAUUUACUUUGGUGAUCCAAGGGAUCAAUGUGAAGCUGAUCUUCUUACUAGAUCUGAAAAAAGAUUCUAGCCUUGACUGGAUUAUAGUCAGUUGAUCAACUACCUCAUUUUUUUGUUUGUUAUUCUGUGAUUGUCUCUUGAUAUAGAUGUAAUAAAGUCCAUGGAUAACACAAUCUACUAGUUAGGAGGCCUAUCAGAAUUCGCCUGUCAGACUUUGUGAAACUUCUCAUUUAUAGUUAACCAAAUUAUGCAUUUUCACGACACACCGCCAUGUUUGUGACAUGCUUGCUUCAGUAAGAUAGUUUCUUUUGAAUUGCUUUACCCAGUGGAGCUUUACAAGAGCACAAAAUUUUCUGCUUCUACCUGAGGAAGCCUCGCAAUUAGACACUGAUAAAAUCAUACAAAGACUAUUAGCAGUUUUAUUCGGAAGUGGGAUGGGAGGUUCAAACAAAACCGGCUUUGAAUAAGAACGGACAAAUACUUAGGAGUUGCUUGUAUACAUUAUCUUUCACUCAGAGUAACAAUGUUAGUGUGUUGAUUGUAUUAGAAUCUGACUUGUAUGCAUUAUCUUUCACUCAGUGUAACUAUGUUGGUGUGUUGAUUGUCUAGAUUAUCUUUAGAAUCUGACUUUUGCAAGUAUAUUAGGCCACACAAAUGCAUACACUCCUUGUGUAGACCAUUAUUUUAAAGCAGUUCAUGCAAUUUCUUAAGAUUUCUGAGUCAAAGUCUUAUCUCUUAUCAUGCAGAUCGAACCUCACGACUACAUUGCAGAGCUUUUCAAUAAUGUCACGCAGUUUAAUAACAUCUUGAUUGAUUUUGAUAGAGAUAUAUGGAGCUACAUAUCUUUAGGUUAUUUUAAACAGGUAACCCUAACUUUCCACUACUAUAUUAAUUUCUUUUCCUUUGUAACAAAUUGAUCGAGAAUAAAUAUUUCUAAUGUUCUCUGCAGAUAACAAAGGCUGGUGAGAUUGGAUCGUCCACUAUGCCUCACAAAGUAAAUCCUAUUGAUUUCGAGAACAGUGAGGGCAAUCUAUGCUUGGGUAAUGCCGUUCUAUCAGCCCUUAGCAUGAAAUUGCCCAUUUCACGGAUGCAGGUAUUAUUCCAUCUUGAUCCAGAUUUCUCUUUGUUGGUCAGAUGUCAGAAACUGCUUUAUUUGGUAGUAAAUUUAAAUUUGAAUUUGCUGGGAGUGAUACAUACAUGCUUGUGAUCUCAGAACCUAUAACAAGAUUCAACUAUUUAAGAACGCUUUGAAAGAUUCACUUAUUCUUAAAUCACAUAUUAUAUAUGUGUUUAUGUGUGUGUGUGUGAUGCAUGUGCCUAUGUGUAUUCAGUUUUUGUUCUAUCCAUUGGUCUUCAUGCAGUGAUGUCAUUCUUACUAUUGUGUUGUGCAUAACAGCGUGACCUAACUGAUUCAACUGUCUUGAGGAACCUGGGUGUCGGUUUAGGUUACUCUCUUCUGGCUUAUAAAAGUGCACUACUGGGAAUCAAAAAGCUCCAGGUAAACAGUCUGCGCAUUGUGUGUAUUUACUAGUAAGGAUAUAGAACUACCAUGCAAAGCUUUCUUUGACCUUUUGAUUAUGAUGGAUUUCGUUAGCAUUUAAGGAUAAGGUUUGAAGCCAACAUGCAUGCCAACCUUUUUGUAUUUUCAUUACUAAUCAAUAAUGAUUUGUAAUCGGUUGACAUAUCUUUUGUUAUUCUACUACUACUUCAGGAAGUUUUCUUCAUCUUAUGCAUUCCUUGCUUAUCCAUAAUCAGUGGAUUCCACUGAAGGUCAAAUCAGCAGAUUAGUUAUUUGAAAGUUGAAUUGCGGUUUAAAUGGUUAUCAUGAUUCAGUGUGUAUAACAGUAAUAAAACAUACUGCAACAAUUCUGUUGUCAUUUCCAACAUAAAAGUCAGAUAUGAUACUUAUAAAUAGAGUUCGUUUUUUAGAGCAUAAGAACAUGUAGCUUCAACCAUUCUGCGAUGUAAAUUUUAACUAAAGUGCAAUCAUGAGUUAAGGAUCUCUAAUUCUUCAUAUUUUGUGGUUGUAAUUAUCUGUUUGUAAACUAUGCAAUGGUAGAUGGUGAUGCUAAUCUAAAUUGAACUGGAAUAACACGGUAAAGAAUAAUGCUAAGGAAACAGAAAACAUGAACAAGGUAAAAGACUGGGGAGUUCUGAUGAAUAGUUCAUUCAAGCCAAGUUUGUAGCUUCACACAGAUUGUACUUUUGGCUCUAAAAUUACUAUUAAAGAUUGCCUAAUCGAGAGCAUCUCUUGAGUAAGUCAAGGCCACUGGCACUGUAUGUGUUGUCAAUAUUUGACAAUAUGGUGAGCAGAAAUGUAUGGCAGGGUGUCCCCACAGGCAUGGCUCUGGAAAGAGGAAAAAAGAAAAAAGAGGAAAAGGGAGUAAAGGAAGAAUGAACAGCUACAAAAAACUAUAAAAUUUCGAGUUGGAGUCCAACUACAUAGAUAUUUUCUUGCCUUUGAGAUGUAUUGUUAGUUACAUUACUGGUCAAAAUAAGGACUAUUAUAUCCUUCUUAUGGCUCUCUUUUUCUAUGCUCCCUCUUGAUCUCCAUUUCUUUUGGCUGUAGUUGCAGCUUCGAGUUGUUUCCUUAAUCUGCUCUUAUCUUUCCUGCAAGCAUAUUUUUUCAGGUUUUUUAUCUGUUCUAUUUUCUCUUUAGUUUUAUCUGAUUACUACCUAUUCACUAUCAUUGAUUAAGUUGGUCAUUAUUUGUUAAAAGAGUAGAAAAAAAUCUUUUAGGGGCUUUCUUGCAGGUUUGCCUAUUUCAAAAAUUGAGUGAUCGUUUUGCAGGUGAAUGAAUCUUGUUUAAAUGAAGACUUGGAGCAGACCUGGGAGGUCCUUGCCGAACCAAUUCAAACGGUAAGACUCUGACAGUUGUUCUGUGUUUGACAAGUUCAAUUAAACUCAAACGCAGGUAGAGGAUCUGAAGUUCUAUGUAGUUUUUUUUUCUGAUGUUUAGUAAAGGCACUAGAAUAAUGACUUUUGUUUUUGUUGUGGAUAAUUUUCAUCAUUUGGCAUUAUAACCGGAAGAGUAUCACUAUAAUCUCUUCCAUUCGGAUAAAAGUUAGUCCAUUUUAUUAAGUUUACUUUCCGGGCAUUGCGUCCCAUGGUCUUACUUCCUUUGCUUUAGGUGUAUGACAUAAUGUGCAUGUUUUAGUUGCCUAAGCAGAGGGAUCGUUUGAGAUUGCUGGAUCCAUAAACUAUCAAUUAGUCUAGGCUUAUUAAAACCCUAAAAAGAUGAUCAGAGAAAGUUUAUCCCAGUGAAUGAACUAUAUUUAAUCGUAAGCAAUAUAAAGGUGGAAUUCUUGUGUAAUCAAUAUCUUUUCUGAUAUCGGAAGCCACUUACAUGACCUUGUAGCUAAAGUUUUUUGUGUUUCAGCUUCAUAAUCUGGACUCUGUUCAAGCGAUUCAUGAUGCCAAAUUUAAGCUGUUAGUGCUGUUUGCAUUGUUUUCUAGGUCAUGCGAAGAUAUGCUGUUCCUGAGGCAUACGAGAAGCUGAAGGAAUUGACCAGAGGAAGAGCUGUGUCGAAGAAGAGCAUCAGAGAGUUUACAGAGAGCUUGGAUUUGCCCCAGGAAGCAAAGACAAUUCUCUUGAACUUGACUCCUCACACCUAUACCGGGGAAGCAGAGAGAUUGGCCAACUCUGUAGAUGAUGCUAUGGACUUGGUCAACGGGUUUAACCUCCCCUAACAGUCAGCAUGAUCCACAACCUUCAUGGACAAGAAAACAUUGGGUGAUGGAGAAGCCAUCGAUGAUAUAAUUAAUACAUGCAGAAAAUAUCAAUACUUCAUUGGAUCUAUCAUUCUGGUGAAUUAUUUUGACAUCUAUCUGCUCUAAGAAGCUACAGCUAAUCAGUUCCUCUGCUUGAUAGCAUCCUCUGUUUGACCUUUCUUUUAAUAUCUCCUCUGUGUUUUCCCUUUCUUUGUGGAAGCUAAUAUGAUCACAUACCAACAGAAGCCGACAAGACUGUCACGUGUUCCAUUCAUUUCAAAAUAUCUGGUGAGAAUCUUCUUAAUCUCACCGAUGCCUAUUUAUUUCUUGCAUUAUAUAUAUAUAUAUAUAUAUAUAUUGAGAUGGAAAUCCGUAUUUGAUGUUGUAGUCCUUUUUCUUCUCGUCGAAUACAAACUCGUCCUAUUGUGUUGCCUGAUGGAUUAUGUCAUCAAGCAAAGUUGUCUACAGACCGAAAACGACGGUCGCAGAAAACUCCCUCUUCCACUCCGCCGCCGCUGGCGACGGUAGGGACCUCUCGAUCACCGACCGCCAGAGAUAUCAAUUUCGAUGAGGUUCUCCUCCUCGAGAUCGAUCUCGAUCAUGUCGUCCCCUUGCUCUUCGUCCUCCCACGGGAGCCGGGGCUCCGCCGGCGAGCUCGACCCCGACGCGGCCGGGGAGCCGCCCUCGCUGUCGGUAUCGGAGUCGUCGCACGCGAACCGGAGUGGCCACAGUCGCCCGCUUCCCAAAUUUUCAUUUUGGGCCCACUUCGAGUGUUGUUCCUGCGAGCGUCCUCUGCAGCGGGACUCCUCGUUCUCUUCCUCCCCCUCGUAGUCUUCGUAUAUGACCUCGAGCGGUCCGCUCCAGCGGAGGCAGUCGGUGAAAGCAUCGCGAAAGAUCACAUUUUGAUGGUAAUCGGUGGAUUCCACCGCCUUGGCCUCGGGCUUGGGUUCCGAGAGAACUGGGGUUACCUCCUCCUCGACGGCGGCCGCGGCAGCGAGGGAGUUGGGCGGCGGGGAGCGGAGGCGGAAGAGGGCGGCGAGGAGGAGGAAGGUGGAGAUGGGAAUGGGGGAGAGGAGGAGGGGGAGGAGUGUGCGGGGGAGGUAGAGGAAGGCAAGGAUGGAAGCGGCGGCGAGGACUGCGAAGAGAGGGUGGGAGGAGUGGUUGGAUAGGGAAAGAUAACAUCUUGAGAGGAGACUCAGCGCCUCUACCGACAACUCCACUAGAAGAGGAGGAGGAGGAGGAGACUCGGCUUUUGCUGCUUCCAUUGCACCAAAAGAAAGACCGCUCUUUGAUUCAACCGUUCCGGCAAGGUUUCACAGACAACCUACAGAGAGAGAGAGAGAGAAGAAGAAGGAAGCCGACAUGGAGAACGAACCCCUUCGAGGUGAAUAACACAGGGAAAAGGGCGUCAAAAGAGAGAACGAUAGGUGUGCGAGACAAAAGCGGUGGUCACAUCCCUUCUCUCUCUCUCUCUGUCGCUAAAGUUACUUGGAAGCCCGAGACCUGCUCGCUACUAAAAUAUACCGAGUGAUGAUGCUAUUGAAUGGGCUCUAAGACCGGUGGCUCUGUUUCGGCAUAUGAAGUGUCCCACCUGAUAGCGAUCGUAGCAACAGCAAGCCAUUAUUGUGGAGUCGAACGAAGAGGCUUUGCGAUCUCCUUCCUCCGGCUUAUUAGGUUGAAUCCAAUGACACGGACGAAGACGGCGCCAUGCCACGCUACCCCCAUUGACACGACCAGCAGAAGACAAGCUGCGUUCUAAUGUUGCGUGUAGUCGAGUACAGCUAAGGAAGGAAUUGGCAGAACAUGUCGCAGCAUCAAUCGCAACAGCAGAUGAUGUCUCCAUUAGGUGUGUGUGUGUGUGUGGAAGUUACGAUCGAUCGCAUUUAAGGUGUUUAACAGACCCAUUUAAUCUUCUCUUUACCUUACCGUUCUACUUGUUGAUAUCGAAGAAAGCCACCCGCUGAAAUGUGACACCGUCUUUGGGUUGGGUUGCCUCCUCAUCUUUUCUCCGUCGACGCCUAUCGCCACCGCUGCACUCACAUGUCCCCAUCCACUUUUCUAUCGUGUUAUGGUCUAAAGCCAACCUUUGGAGGUGAGAGGGCUCCUCGGCAUAGCUUUUCGAGGCGUUCGAAAGGGAUGCGAGGGGGGGAGAAUCCACAGAGAAGGAGCGGCUGCAGAGGGAAAAGGAUUCUUCUGCCUCGUGGUGUGUUGCAAGACUGGUUAGUGGUUGCGAGCUGUGGGAAUGCACGAUGGUCAGCAUACGCUGAACAUGCUACAGCAAAGCCACCUGAAGCUAAGAAGCUCUCUGCUGCUUGCCAUACAUGCAUGCAUCUGUACCACCAAAAAUAUCCAUGUUUCUUUCUUUCCUUCUGAGAAUCUCCUAAUUGUUUCAGAACAAUUAAGAACAAAAAAAAUUUAACUUGAAAGAAUUCAGUUCAGAUAUAGGUUAUUUAUUCAAAAGUUUUUGUAACUCAAUCAAAGAUCAAAGAUUUGAUUUUUUCUGACUCUAUUUGUAAUUCGCUAGAAGCUCGGAAAACAAAGAAAAGAUGUAUAAGAACGAUAUAUCCAUCCAGCAACAAAACAAAAAAAAGGAAAAUGAUUGAAUGGAGAAACUCCAACUCUCUAGCAUAAUUAACCAUACACAAAGUCGAUGGAAAUAUCCUAUUAGGAUUGGAAGUGAAACAUAGAUGCAUUUGGGAUCCAAGAACCCUCUGAUCAAACAAAUCACAAGGUGCAUGCACCUCCAAUCAUUGCAUCAUUGAGAACCUCCCAGAGUGUGGGAUGUGACAACACUUUAAUUAGCAUCUGUCAUCAUUGCUUUGUUGCAUUGUAAAAUGGUUUGGAAGGUGAUGAGUGACAAAAAGUCAUCACCUUGAGUAACAAAAUCCAAUUCCCAAUAGAUCUCUCAUUAACCAGAAGAAGAAAAUAAGUAAGAACAUGCCAUAAAACCAAUUAGAACUUCAAAAUCCUUCAUUCCACAGUCGUAAAGAAAGAGCGCACACGGUGAAUGUCAAAGAAUCCACAGCUAAUGAUAAAAUUAUGGACGACGAAGCUUAAAUACAAGUAUUCACUCCCUUGUAAGAAUUUUACAUGACAAGAAAGAACCCACUUCCAGAAAAUUGCACAUGUUAGAGAAAGCCCAUCCUCUUCAAUAAAUGGAUUGAAGAUGAGUUGCAGUGUGACCAAACAAAGAGCAAAUACAAAACCAUAAAGAGAUUCAGAUCGAAACAUACAGAAGAGUGUAUACAUAUAAACUGUUAAAGCUUACUACAUAUUUCUACAUAUUUGUAGGAAUUUCACCUUGCCAUCACUCUUACCUCUCAGGAAAUCUUUACACCGUCCGGAUGUGAUUUUGCAAACCUCUGCCUUGCUGCAUUUGAAGGCCUUUCACUAAUUUCCAUACUGGAAUUCCUCUUGAAAAUGGGCUUUGAGCAAAUGUUAGCAUUCAACUCCAUUGUGAGGAUCUUUGAGGUUUUCUUCCGUUGCACGUACUCAAUUUCAAAGAAAAUUUAAAUUAAGCACGAUGGCUUGCCAGCUACUAUAGGAUGGUGUAUAUGCCAGCUCUGACACUUAUCUCCAUGAGAAAAAUACAAAUUUUUUGCAGUGACAAUGUGUUGGACAAAAAUUUCAAGUACUGAAUUCAACUGAAGCUGCCACAAAGUUUCUGAUUCCAAGAACAGUGAGAUAAGACAGUGAUGCUUGAUAGAAAAGUCUUCUCUGAAUCAUUGGUCCUGCAACUACAGCAUUAUAACAUGCUGAUUUUAGCACAGACAGAGAAAUUAUAAAAGAUGUCCAAUUUCUCAAAAUAUUACCUAUAAUGGAUGAUAACUGGAGAUUCCAGAUAUCAUUUCUACAAAGAUAAAUGCAACACUUCCACCUUCGAAGAGCAAUACGCUAUAGAAUUCCAAAGACUGUAUAUAGCGGUUGUUGGCUCCUUUGAAGGGCAGUUUGUCAUACAAAAUCUAUUUGAUGAAAGAUUAAGAGAACUUAUACACGAUUCCAAAAUGAGCAGGAGACUACAAAAGUGUAAUGCUCCAUGAUUUUACAUAUCACUCUUUCUAUCCUUAUUGUGGCAGAAUGCUGCAGAUUGUAAGACCAGAAUUAAAAUAUGAAUUUUCCUUAUAGCGAUAAUUUUUCCUUCAAUUUUUCAUUAUACUUCUUAAUGUAUGUUGGUCUUUCUACUUUUUCCAAACAUAGAUAUCUUUUUUGCAUUUUCUUAAAGCAUAAAAUGUUCACUCACAAAUUAAUGAUCUUGUACAAGGAUAUAUACCAGACAUCAGGAGCGAAACUAAAAUAGUGAACUCGCUCAUUGUGCGGAGAUGGAAGCUACAAUGUGGAGACCAGAAGUAAAUCAUAUUAAAUUACUGCUUUUAUAAAGAAGAAAACAGCAGCUUGCAUAAGUAACAAAAAGAGGAAAAAUAAUGACAUCUAUUACAUCUUACAACAUGCUAGCUUUGUCCAACUUAUCAAUUGCAUCUUAACCUCACAUAUAACUUGCAAAACCACAAGUUAACAACAAAUCCACAUAUGAAGUCAUUUCACAGCAAAGGCCACAGCCAAAUGAUGAAGAUCUUUGGAAGUAUAAACUGCUGUCUUUGAUUCUUGAUUUUAACAUUUAUCUGAACCUCAAGCUCAGGAGGCAAUACACAACCUAAACAUAUAUUUUGUCUAAUAAUAACUGCUUAAAAAUUUCCACUAACAGCAUCACCAUAUAUAGUAAGUAGUAAAAUGAUAAUUCCAAGGAAAGCCAAAAACUCGAUUGGCACCAUGAGAGAGACUGGCACUAAUUUGCAAACUAAGUAAAGCUGAUUAAUAUCUAUAAGAUAUGACAUUAUUAAUCCCAGAAGAACAUACCGAUUGAAGUCUCUGAGCUUCUUAGUUUGUAGAAACCAUUUCCAUCCUCAUUGCUCGUUCAUUCAGUUAGAGUAGAUGUUGAAUUAAAUGAAAGUCCUAGCAAAGCUUCUCCAUUGUGACCAGCACUUUUAUCUCACUAAUUCACUCUCCACAUGAAUUCUCAACCUGCCAAGUAACACAGGAGAAAUUUAGAAAAAAUUGAACAGUUUGAAACAUUUAUGCAGAAUACAUGACACAAGGAUCUUAAUAGAAGAGAGCCUUCAGCAAUUUUCACCCAUCAUAGAUCAAAUAAAAUUAUACAUCUGAUAAAAUCUGAGAAUUCUGCUUCCACAAGUUUUACACAGCUGAGGCUCAUACCUACUAACAUAGUAUUAAUAAGGAGGAAGGUUGGCUGCAGAUGAAGAUGAAUGUAUUAAAUACCCAGCAAAUAAUCUAAAAUAAGAAUAAGUCUCGAACAACAUGAUGCAAAUUCUGCUAAUAAAAUAAACAAGGGAGGACGUAGAAAUAAUUUAAUUUAUUCAUGUUUUAAAUGGUGAAAUUUCUGACAUGUUUAAAAGUGAAACUUACUGAUAAUUACAUAAGAAUGUUCUCUGUCACAACUUAAAACCUCUCAUAACCUAUGGAUGAAUAUAUUCUCCCUGAAUGAACAAAAAAAAAAGGAUAAUAAACAACCUUCUUCUGGACCAUAGGGCUUCACAAUUGUGCUAUCGGUACAUCAUACAGGAAAAGACAUCACUAACUUUUUCAGAAGUUGGCAAGAUAAUCCAUUUAGUACUAUUCAAAGAUAGCUGAAACUUCAAACUUCAGCAAAAACACAGAAUUUCCGGUCCUCACCAAUUCGGUAACAAGCAUGUGUGAUAUCGAUAUACUGGAAAGGAUCAUUGUAUGAAAACAAUCAACUUUAUCUUAUGCUCCACCACUUUUUGGAUGCUUUCUCUUCAGGAUUACCAAACUUUUGAAGUGAUGCCUUUGUCUCCCGUAACCGCAACUUGUAAACCUUCUUCCAAGUAGAAAAACGUGCCUUCAAAUUUUGCAGCUCUUCAUCAGGGUUUAUCUUAGAACUUGAUUGCCCUGACUUAGCUUCAACAAUAAACCCAGCAUCAUCCUCAAAUACCUGCCGCUGCUGCUCAAACUCGUUUACAAGGUGGAUAACUGCAAUUUCCUUGCUAUCAUUACUCCUUACUUCUUCAGCACCAAUGGACUGUUUGGCAGGAGUGUCUUCUGGUGUUUGGUUGACAGUUGAUAUGGUAUCUUCGGAGUCAUAACAGUUGUUAACUGCUGACAUAUUCAGCUGUCCAGGUCGAUUUGCCAUGUCAGAAGUGAGGCUCUUUCUUGCAGCAGCUAAAGUUGACUGUAUAAAGGACACAAAUUCCAUUAGGUAUUUGUCAUAGACUAUUUCCUCUACAUACUAAAUUAAAGAAUAAAUGCUCGUAGAGAAAAUUGCAUUGCAUGUAAAUAAUUGACAAUAAAAGUAGUUCAAAACUUCAAGAAAGCUUCCAAGGGUACUUUUCUGUCAGUUGGGAAUCGGUUUGGAGAAAAGGACAAACUAAAAUUGAAUUUUGAGCAAAGUUUACAUUGAAAAUGGAAAAAGAAAUUAUAAAUUCCUUUUUCCUAAAAGAAGCCAUACUAAAUUAAGGCAUAUAUUUUAUUUGAAGAGGAACCUUUAAGCAUCUUGCUUACCAAGUAUAUUAUAGAACUAGAAAAGAAAACAAUUAGAAAUUUCACAAAAGCAAAAAAAAAGAUCACCUGCAAACUAGUCAGUUGUUUUUGCCAUGUCUGUUCCAUAGACUUCAUUUUCAAUUCAUAUUCUGACCAUCUUGUGUCAUAGUGUUUAAGUCGCUGCUGUAAGAUAGCAUUUUCUUCUUCCUUUUUUCUCAAUGCUGCUUCUGCCCUUAAGGCACGCCUGUGAAGUUCAUCCAUAACUUCUGGGUGAAUUUGAGGGAGCUCACUGGUUUUGUCCUAUCAUUUAGUAACCAUGGCACUUUAAGAACUUUAAUCUGGGAAAAUAUUAUAAAAAGGUAAUAUGUCUGCUAUAGUCGUUAAUCAAAAUCGAAAAGGAAAGCUUGCUUUUUGACAUGAUCACAUGGAAAAUUGUUGCUUCAAUCGAUCACAACUCAAUAUAGUCUUAUCAAGCUAUUUUUUGACACCAUGUGUUUCUACCAUGUUAUAUUUCUUUCUAUGUUCUCCUGAUUUCUUUUUGCCAUUAUGCUUCUUUCUUUUUUCUAACUUGACUUCACUUAACAAUGAGCAUGGUUUUGAUCCAGCUGGACUGCUUUGUACCAGCCAAUACUUCCGACCUGAGAACGGACCAGUACUAGACCAUAUAAUACAGCAUCAACCGAUACUCAUUUCUUAUGUUUUCAGUAGUACUGGCCAAUACAGAUUGGUAUACUGCUCAAUAUACCAGUACCUUGUAUCGGACCAUUAAUUGAACCUGUUUUAUCUCACUUUCCGAAUGAAAAUAAAGUUUAUAAAUUUCUCUUUAUCUUCUUUCCAGGACAUAAAGCUUCAUUAGAAGAAAACAUAAUUGAUGAAUGCAGAACCAAAAAACAAAUAGUUCAGGGAUUACGGAAGUGAAAGGGAUCUAAAUAUGCUUAGUUCUUUAAUAUGGUAUACCAAAUGAACAUAUGAAAGCUCCAAGUAAGACAUUUAUGAUGCUGAAUAUCUUCCUUGAGUAACAGGUAAUGUGCAUUCUAGUUAUCAGGACUCAGUGUUGCUAGGCAUCAGUAAGAUAUCAAUAUUCUAGUAUAGAUACAUCCUCCUCUCUUAUAUAUACUAAUCUGCAAUUAUUAGCUCAUAUGAUCCUUAAUGGUACUUCCUAGACUACAAAAAGGUCUUCUAUAACAACACUACAAGAAGAAAUGUAGCAUGACACUGGUACUUGCUUAAAAAAGUCAACAGUUUCAACUUUGCUCUAAAGAUUAAAGUACCAAAUAACUCAAGAAAUUAAUUUCGAACAACUUCAGAAAUUUUGCUGAUGAGUUGCUUAUGGUAGAUUAUUUUUUAUUGAACAAGAAUAAAAAAUAAAUUUCCUGAUAUUGAACUUGAAGAUUGAUAGGUCUUUGAACAGACUUCUUCUUACAUAGAAUUAUAAAGUUAAUACCUUCAUCAGUUGUGCAAGAUUUCUUUCUGAACUUUUGUUCACUUCCACUUGAUUGAGUUUUGCCAUUUUGUGCAUUUUCAAGUUGAUAAAAGUCUUCCUUGCCAACCAACCACGAAUAGCUGCAGAUGAGAUGAAAUUUCUAAUGAGGGCAAAUGACACAAAGGAACUAGAAAACAGCUAGAUCCCCGACUACAAGCUAUAAUUAUGUUACCAGACUGCAAAAGUAUAAUAUCCUUCAGCUGGUAACUAAAUCUUGUCCCCACUAUCCAUUGCCUCACAUGCUUUUGAAUGAGAAUAGCAAACCUCCAUCUCCUUGUCAAAACUUCAAAUUCGCACCUCGCCUUUUCACCUCGGAUAACUGUUUUUAAUCACAAAAGCCCAAUAAAGUAUAGUAAGGUGGGUGAAGCUCAACAUAAAUUGAAUGAGUUUUCUCAAAAUAGAAAAAUAGAAAUGCUUGAAGAAUGACAGAAAUGAUUAGAAUCCGAAAGUCCAUCCAGUUAAUGCAACCAUAAAACACUAUUAUAUUAUAGAACAAGUGCAAAUGUUUCACUGUAUAUGCACAAAAAGCCUGGUCAAAAAUCAAUAUUUACAGCAAGAGAAUAGCUACUCCCAGUGCAUGUAGAAGCAUUACAUGAUUGUAAUGUAGUUGCCCCCUUCCUCAGCCGUUGAUAGAAAUUAUGAGCUUGAAGACCACGAAAGUUCUUCUGAACCCAAACAAUCCCCUGUAGAAUUCUAUUUCUAGCAUCUUCCAGUACAGCAAUCUGAAUACAUACACAUGCCAGAAAAGAUCAAUCAACAAUAACAGCAUACAAAAGGCAGAUGUUAAAAAGGUAUGUUACCAUAAGAUUAUGGUAGGUGUGACUGCUACAUUUAAAAACAUGAUUCGUCUUACCGGUCCAUACCGAUAUAUCAACCAGCUGUUGGUAUGAGACAUACCGAGCUGUAUUGAGUCGUACCGAAUGAUUAUGAUAGGAAGUAAUAAGUGAUUGUAAACAAAAGAUUCAUGCAUCAGAUUGGAACAAGCUUGAAUGAGGCUUCCAUAAACAUCAUUAAUGGUCAGCUAUGGUUAUGAUUUUGGUAUCUAUUUGUAGAUUAAUAUAUAGCUUGAUAAUGAUUAAAAAACCUCAUAGGCUCAGAAAGAUACUACAAGAACUGACAUGAAUAGGGAAUCUUCAAGCUUCAGAAAUAUAUUGAAAUUCUGAGGCAAUUGAGAAUUAUACCAAAUUCAUUAAUGAUGAUCAAAAUUUGUGAACUUAGGAAAAUUUAUUUUUCCUUCGUAACCUAGAGUUGAAUAAAAAUAUCACACCAAGUACUUUUCCUGUAGUUUGGAUUAUAGGAUGUACACUAAAUUAUUGUAUUAGAACUAUGACACCCAUAUACCUUAGUGAUCCCACAUAAAGAGAGGUGCUUGGGUUGUUCUAUACAUAUUCACAUCAGCUGAUAAAGGAUCAACGUGUGUACCUAACUAGAAUGCUUUACUAGUAAGUAAUGACUGGUUCAGCAUGUUUAAUGGAGAAUCUCAUCAUAAUCGUGCAUGCCUGAAACAUUUAAGGACAUUUAAGAAUGAUCAAAAUAGAUACUAUCAGUCUAAAAACUAAGAAGUGGGUUAUGUUUUCAAUGUUACAGAAUACAGACAUAUAUGGACAAUUUUUAAGUUCUGAUGCAUCACAAUAAGAAAACUUAAUAGAAAACGCUCAUUAGAAGAAGUUUCAAUACCUAAUUUAUAUAAGUUCUGAAACUCUGUUGUCAAGCACAAAAGCAAAUAAUAGAUAUCAAUACACGAAAUUGAACAGUUACAGUUCAAUUACAACAUAAAAAAUAUGUAUAUUUGGUUUUAUUCUUGUAAACACUAAACUUGAAACAUCACUGUCAUAUAUCCUAUCAUUUAUCCAAAAGAUAGUCGUUUAACUGCAAAGGUAGUCUAGUUCAAUGAACCUUCAAAAACUCUAAGCUCCGACAGUCCUCGAGGACAAACAAAAGCUCAGAGAAAAAGCAUAAAUCAAUGGUUAUUAUGUAUGAGAGAGAACAGGAACAAGAUAUUUAUGAGAAUGCAAUUGUCUGUCUACUUCAAGUGAACCUUUAGAUUAGGUUUUAAUAACCAGCAUAGACAUGUCAAACAUGCAAAAGGGAUAAAUGUUAAAGAGAUAAUGAGAAAGAAAUUGCCUGUCCUGUGCGGAAAAAUAACUUUGUGUAACCAACUCUAUACAUCUCAGGUGGCACAUUGAAUUGCUGUAGGAUGGAAACUGACAAACUGAGUGCAUCCUGAGAACUUGAAGUCUGUAAAAGAAGAAAGCCAUACCUAGAAGGGAAAAAUAUAAGCAUGUCAGAAUCCCACAAAUAUUGCUCCAUUACAUUCUUGAGGCAAAAGAAAAUUUCACAAAUUACCUUUCAGCAAAUAGUUGAUGUGUCAUUCGAGUUGGAUAGCCUGACCUGGAUAUCCGGACAACUUCAAGGACCCCACAGCAUCUUAGCUGUUGUAACACAAGAUCAUGUUCGUACAUGCUGGGAAGUUGCUUGCUGUUUGGCUUGAUGCACCGAAUGAAAUGGGGAGUAGUACUUUCUAACCGCUGCAUCAACUUGAAAAGUUGACCCUAGGAUCAUUUUAAAGUAUUUCAAAGUUCAGUUUGCCUUCAAAUUUAGAUCAAAAUUUCCAAGAUCAACCACAAGAUUUCACUAACAUUAGUCCAAGUCCUCUGGCAUGCCAUGCAGAACUCCCUUCUACAUGUGGAAGUUGUAUAAACUAUGCAGUCUAAACAAAUGAAAGAAAAUGGUUGAACCUCUUAAGAAACCCACAUAGACGCUUGUGGUUUCAGUCAUUGUUAGAAUAUUACUAAAUGCAACUGGAGAUCAUGACUUACCAAAGACAGAAGCAACAUCCUUUUAGGUAAGGACAAAAGCAUCAUGAAGUACUGUGCUUAUCACAGCACAGAGGAUGCACCAGAUAUGUCAAUUCACAAUGGCAUGCAGGCAUUUUCUGGCUCAAAAUAGACCAGUUUUCUCUUCAUGAUACGCACAUGGCUAACAAAUACUAUCAUUGUAUGGCAUUGUACAAUCAUGUCAGCCAGUAGUCAUUAUUGUGUAUAUCAGAAUAUUUUAAACUUCUGUGUGACUGAAGUCUGACAAUACGUGAUUUACAAAAUCUGCAGAUACAUCAGCAGAAGUAAAAUGGCAUCACAACAAAUAUCCAAUCAAGACUAUGAUUCAUGGUUUGCAGUAUAAGCCAAGUCCAAAACAAAUAUCCCUAAAUUUUCAUGUAGGGAUCCUAGAACAAUCCAAUAGAUCCUGACAUAUUUCUGGCAAAUCUUGGUGGUAUGAUCAAUUAUAGUGCUAGUCAAUCCAUUUUACACAGAUCCCAGACAAAUUCCUGCUGAUCUUAAUACUCACCAGUGAACUUCUAGAUGAUCCCAAUCAUUGUCCAACCAACCCUAGCUGGUUUUUUAUCAAAAAUCCAUUUGCAUGUGGAUUCAAGGAAGCAAUGUUCUAUCUGUAAAGCUCUUUAUGAGUUAGAGGUUCAAGGAAGGCUUCUGGAGCCAGAAUUAUAUAGCAAAAGCAAUUUAAAUGUAAAUUUAAAUCAAUAGUGCAAUGAAAUAUUGUGAGAUAUUUUAGGUGUUUAGUUUUCUUGAACAAAGAAAUUUUGGAAAAUAAUACAUAGAGAUGUACAAACGAUAAAGAGGAAGCAGUAGAGGAGGAAGAAAAAUGAAAAAGGGGUGGAGGAAGAGAAGGAAGAAGAGGUGGGAGUAUACCUAGGAAGAAGAAGGAACACAACGAUGGCGGCAUCACAAAGCAACAAUGGCUUCGUGAAGCAGCAGCAAUGGCAAUGACAGCAACAUCACGAAGCAACAACGACGGCAGAAGCAUCGCGAGAAGAGGGCUCAUGUUCACAAGCCCAAGUUUUUUUUUUUUUUUUCCUUUUUUAAUGCUGAGCUAGACAAGCCCCAUUAUUAUUUUGGGUUUUUUUUCUUUUUUGAGUUGGACUGAACCACCCGAAACAGGGUGGUCUGCAGACCGGUCCAUGUCCAAACCGAUAUAUCCUUUAUAAGAAUUUUUGUACUAAAAUGACUCAAGGUUAUAUAACCUAAACACAUUAGACUAGUGUAAAUAAAUCCUAAUAUUUCAAAUUUUGAUAAACAUAAACAUAUAUAUAUAUAUAUAUAUGAUUUUUUUUUGUAUUUUUCUUACCUAUUCAAUCCUGCAUGACAUGCUGGAUCCUAGUCCUUGAUCCUAGGAUGGAUAUUGAUUGUGCAAACCUUAAAAGGAGCUAAUACAAACCAAAAGACAAGGAAUCAAGCACGUUUAGACUAUCAAUUAAAUUGGGCUAUGAUAGGAUAUUUGAAAACUGAAAAGUCUUAGAAGCUUACCAUUUACAGCCCCUUUUUUACUAUUAACAAUCCCUUAAAAAAAUAAAAUAUUAUUUUAUUUUUUAUAGCCCCAGUAUUAUCGAUUUUAUCCCCUUUUUUUUCUUUUUUUUUUCUUCCUCGCAACACUUUAUUUUAUCUUGGCUGCCGACAUCACUAUGCUCAUUGCCAUCGUUGUUCACCGCUCAAUGCCAACGCUGUUCGACCCCACUCGCCACCCCCUCAACGUCGUCCUCCAAGGAGGAAGAAGAAGAUGAGGAAAAGGAGAAAGAAGACGAGGAGAAAGAAGAGGAAGAAGAUGGUAAGUAUGUCCAUUUGCAAAGGGAUAGUUUAAAAAUAUUAAAAAUAAAAUAAAAUAAGGUUGUAAAUAAUAGAAUUGCAAAUAGUAACCUCCAAGCUUAUAUGGUUUGAACAUGUACGACAGACAAGAUGGGAAGAAAAGAACAUGAAAGCAAGACACCAUAAGCAUGAAACUUGGACACUAACAGGGCCUUGACCACGAAGGUGCUUCAAAGGAGAUGAGGUAGAUGAACUUGACUACCAAUAUGAAAUAACAAAUGGCGAUCCCUCAUGGAAGAACUAUUGCAAGAAGCUACUGACAACAGGCAAAGGCAAAGCUAAAUAAAGUGAGAUAAACCCUCCAAUCUAACAUGAUCACUGAAAAAUCAGAAAUCAAAUUUUCAAGAAAGACACCCAACUUUCUUGCAUCUUGGAAUAGAUUGGUAACCAACUUGAUACACAAAUUGAAAAAUCAAACAAGUUCUGAGUCAUCAAACAAAUAUUCCAAGAUAUCUGAGUAAAGCAAAAAUCUCCAAUUUUGUCCUUGAACUUGACAAGAACAAGAGACUUAGUUUCAUGAAAAAAUAACAACUCAGUUAUAGACCAAAUGGGAAUUAGUUCAACUGAAAGCAAACUGUGCAGACAAGAUAUGGACCACUUUCACUUAUUAUGGUAGCACAGACAUGCAUUAUUUUUCAGAAAUGAAUGCAUAGCAUAUGUAACUCAACUAGAUGCAAGCCACACAUAUUAAAUAGAAAAUCAUCCAUGCCAAAAAGAACAUGGGAAGCAAAAUCAAUAAUAUUAUCUCCAAGAUGACUGGAUAUUUACUUCCCAUUUCAAAUGAGGAACUACCUUAAAUUUUGCCACAACGCUUUGCUUUUGUAGGUCAAAACUACUUGAUUGCCGAAACCGGCUUGACUCCUUCUCAGGUUGCAGUAUGUUGUUGGCAAAUGACUGUGGAAGCUGGCAAGCACAUGACAAAAGUAACUGGACCAAAUCAGCAUGCAAUGUAUCUCUGUUCUUCUCCAGGAAACCACUUGAAUCAUAUAAAACCUGUUAUCCACCUAAUUGUUAGUCUAUGGAAGUUAACCAGCGAAUAAAUUGUUGGUUGCUUAAAAUGAAAAAAUGAUUUAAGCACGCUAACAAAUCUAAUGAGAUAUAACUCAUUUGAUGCCUUGUUCAGAGACCAAAAUUUUUUUUAUAAAAAAGUUGAAGUAAUACUGUAUGCUCAUCAACUAAGGAAAAAUGAACCCAGGAGAAAGUAUAUACUUUUCGUUGAUCUGAUUCACUGCACUAUUUACUUGGGACAAUAUCUUAGUUGACGUUAUUUAAUGUUUCAGAACACUACUAUUUGCUUCCUGUAAAGGGUGAACCUUGAUACAACAAUAAAGUAACUUGAUUGUCUAGGAUUCAAGUCACAAAAACAAGCUUUUACUUCUAGGACAAACCACCCCCAAACCCCACAAUGACAGAAGCCAUGUGUGCUGGGUCAUCUCUUUUACUAUUUGCUUGUUGUCAGAGUUGAGUACAACUUUUAGUGAUUGAAAUAAAUAUUAAUAAAUAAAUUACAAGAUGCUGAAUUAAUAAUUCCACAGAUCUGCUUUAAAAGAAACAAUUACAUAAUCUUUUCUUGAAAAUCUAUAGACAUUUUCCCACGUUAUGGUUCCAAUGAAAAUCAUCAACACUAUAUGCAGUCCAAGCCAAAUGGCAUAUUCAAGAUAGAAUUUUCUUUAUGUGCAAAAAACAAAUUUCAUAUGAAAAGUUAAUAUAAUCAAGAGUAUAACUUCAUUGAACUAAAAAUGGAUUUCAUAUAUUACAGUAACCAAAGAAGAGACUUUAAAUUCUAGCAAAAACUGUUCAGGGAAGCAGCAUAGAAUCUGACCUCUCCGGCAUAGUGGGAAAUCCUAAAAGUACCUCCCCUUUCCCCCUUAAAGCAGUGAUUACCAGCGAAGUGCUGCUUAAGUUUGUUAGCAAAAGUCAUAUCAGUAGCUUUGGGAAAAGUCGACUCUUCAUCUAAAAGUGAUAUUACCCCUAGAGGUUUCUGUAAUGAAUGAAAAAGCAAGAUUUAACAUAAUUCCAAUAUAUUAAAAUUAUAGACCAUGAAAUUGUUCUCAUUAACAGAGAUGAGGAAAUAUGCUUGAUAGUAUUAGAUAUAAUUAUUUUGGCAAAAGCAAGCAGAAGAAUGCAAAGAAUCCCAAUGCUGUCAGGUACCUCAAAAAAAAAUAAAAAUGUAAUCCAAAAUAUAGCAUAUAUGAUACUGAAAAAUAAUUCUAGAAUUACAGGUAGCAACCUUAUCUCGUUCAUGGGAACAUCAAGACCAUUAAUGUAAGCUUAAAACCUCAUGAGUUGUUCUCAAAUUAAAGCUCAUACAAGAUUAAUUGAGUCAUGCAUGACCCUAUUGAAAAGCCAGGAUAUAGCCGAAAGUUUAGUACUUAGCAUUGCCAAUAUUUAAGAUUUGCUAAGCAUUACAAUAAGUCUGCUUAUGUACAGCACAAAUUUUCUGUUAUAUUAGUCCUUGUUUAAACAUUUACAGUUAUAGGAUAACAUCAAACUCAUAGAUAAGAACAUUAAAGACCAUGUUAUUCAGUAAUUGAAGUCCAUAUUAAGAUUAGUUGAACUCAACAUUUACCAGUUAAAACCAGAAUAUGGCUAAUUAUAAUAGUUGAAGAUUAGGUUCCACAGUUGCACACUACAAAAUAAUUUAAUUAAACAAACAAGGUUCUCUUUGGAUUUCUCUAAGUUAAAAUGAGGGUUAUAGCAAGGUACAAAGGGUCAACGAUUCAGAUACCAAAGUGUACUGACCUACUUAGUAUACCAAUAUGAAAUACUACUAGUAUGCUAACAAUAUUGAAGUAAAACUAACCAUUGUGGAAUAAAUGGGGGACGAGCCAGUGGCCUCAUAUCAAGGUCGAGGAAACUUGCAGCUAAUAAGCAAGAGCCUCACUCUUUCCUUUUGAGGUGCAGGCUCAUCCCUUUCCUUUUGAGGUACCGUUAUUUAAGGGCAUACCAUGUGGUACCAAAGCAGACAAUAGUUUAAGGAAUAGACAAAUCCUCAAACCCAACAUUUGAUUAACAAUUGGAUGCUAUACAAGUGUUUUACAACCUUACUUGAUAGAAGUUUCAUAAAACCUCCCUUGAUAGGAAUACAUCGGGUGACAAACUAAUAGCCCCAUGUUAGGUAGACUCAAAAUGACAAUCAUGCUGCCCAUGGACCACAUGGCCAAUACCUAAAAGACACCAUAGAUCAUCAAACCCCCAAAAUUUGAUGAUGAAAUGUUGGUGGCCGUUCAUGUCCCCACUAUACUCAUCCCAACCAGGGGCUAGACAAACCAAUAGUUGCACAUCAAGGAGACUCGAGGAAAGAUUGUGGCUCAUAAGAAAGGAUCCACCCCUUUACCUUCGAGGUCUCUUUUUCAAGAGUAGAACCAUAUGGCCCAUGAUCAAAUCAGACAAUAUCUCAUGGAACAUAGUACAGAUAUAAUUGUCGAUGCCGACCAAAUCAAAGCAACACAAACAUACAGUACCAGUAGAAUGGUAAUUAAUAUAAACCAGAAUUUAAAUCAUUGCUAAUAGCCCUACAGCAAGUUACAAACUAGAUCACAAGUGAUGUAGAUAGACUAGAACACUAUGUUAAGCCUACUUUAUGAUUCAGAACCAAAGAUACACCAGCGUGGAAAUACUAUAUCCAGAACACUAUGUUAAACCUACCUUAUGAUUGGGAACUAAAGAUACCCCAGGGUAAAAAUCCUGUAUCUGGACCACCCAAAUCACCUGGACCACAUAUUUGGAUGAGUGAAUUCAACAUUCAGGCCAAUUGGAUCAAAAGGACCAUAUGACUAUGUUGGUUCAAGUUUACCAUUUGGGCCCAAUAGUUAAAAAAGAUUGUUAUUGUUUAAACAAAACAAAUUGAUAUGGUUCAAUGUAGCAAUGGAUAGAGAAAUAAAAUUUCAGCGGAGGAAGCACCAUAAGAAAAAAACCUUGGAAUUGGUACAUUUUAGGUAGCAAUUUUUUUAUUUCUCUAGCAUGGAGGUUCUUAAUAUCAUGGAGGUUCCCCUCGCUCCCUAAUCCUAGGAUUUGGGCCCUCCAACCAUUAACACUAUUCACGCUGUUAUCAUGCCUGGAAUCACAUUAAAUUUUAAAUAAGUACAACCACAUUGAACUUUCCUAAUCAAUCAUAUAAUGCUUGGGUGUGAAACAACCACCCCCUAGGGUUAUCUUUGGCUUCAUACGAAAGUUAAAUAUAGUUAUAAUCCACAUGUUAGAUCUACCACAAAGUCACAAGCAAUCAACUCGAAAGAAACAUUUCAUAAAUUACAACAUUUCUGAACAUACAACAAAUACCUUCUCCAAGAGGUUUAGACAAUUGGCGUUAUCCAAAAAUUCAACUUUGGCCCAAUCAAUUCCAUCUUGGGCAUAUUCCUACAGAAAGCAAGAAUAGAAAUAAGGAUAUUCAUUAAACACUGGCAAUUAGACUAAUAACACCUAUUAAAAAUUCAAUCAGAUUGAUGGCAAUUUUCAAGGGAAAAAGAUCCUAACGUAUAAAGGGAUUAAACCAUAGACCAUACUCAUUUAAAAAGAAGUGUCAACAUAUAACCAACACAAAGACUAUCAUGUUAUUGAUAUGUGCACUGACUAGGCACUGAGGUAUGCCAAGAACUGCAAGUUGUCAUGAUUAUGCAGCAAGUGGGAAUUUCUGAUCACUAAGGUUGUCUUCGAAAUGUAUUUCAAGUGCAUGAUGAACUCAGCACAUGAUUUUUCUUAGAAUGAAGCUCAAAUGAACCUGUGCUAGGAAUUGCAAAUACUGCAUUUGGAAGUAGCGAUUACGAAGAAGCAAAAAAAUCAAAUCCUGUGGAAAUGCAUUACUAAACUGGUUACCAGACCAGUCAAAACUUGUCAAUAUCAUUAAAAACUCCGAAUCAAGCUGGACUUAGGAGUUGGAUGGGUGAUAGAGAAAGGAAAUAGAUGUCUGUAUUAUCCUUCUAAGGCCCCGAGUUGUAUCCUAUAUCCAUAUAAAAAAUCAUAGCAGUUAUAGGAAAUGCAUAUUUCAUCUUUUGAAUGUCAAGUAGUAUUGGUUAGUUUACGCAAUCUGACCUCUUCCUCCAGUAAGGUGUAGAGUGAAAUUUAUCUACUCACACGUCUGUCCUCCUAUUUUAAGUAUUGCAACAUUAGUGAAUCUGCAUGGUUUCAUCUGCAUGUACAUGCUUCAAAAUUAUGCCAUUUUUAAUCUAAGUUCCAUUUCAUUUUAUAUUUCUUUUCUCUUUUCUUCCAACAUAAUUCCACCCAGAGCAGUUACGUACAGAAUCAAACAUUGAAUUUCCUUGUACAAGAAAGAUGCAAUGUCAAACAGUAUAACUAGACAGUAGAUACAGUAGAGUUCAGAUGUUAAAUUAUUAAAACCCAACAAUCAGAUUUUGAAAUAUGCCAAUUAUUUUAACUGACAUGAACAGUGACCAGUCUUUCAUGUUUAAACCAUAUUGCACACGGUAUGCUUAUUGCAUUUUCUACUGCUUUAGUCACAGGCUUCUCCUUUCAUUUUCAAAAAAGAAAUGUGCAAGAUAUAGAAGUGGUAAGCCCACUUUUACUUAAAUUAUUUAUAAGUAAAUUAUAUUUUUAUAAUAAAGUGAUAAAAUAUUUAGCAAAGAAUUCUGCUCAGCAGUAUAAGAAAAUAAAGCAGCCCACUAGUGGAAAGAAAUAACAGCAGUGUCAAAAAACUUAGAACCUGCCUCCUGUUCAAGUUUAAAUAGAUGACGAUUGAAGUGCUGUUGUAGUUGCUCGUUAGCAUAAUUGAUGCAGAACUGUUCAAACCCAUUGUUCUGCAAUGGUUCAAAUGUUAGUCCAACAAAAAAGAAACAUAAUGUGAAGCAGAUAUUAAAUUGAAUGUAACCAUAGGAUCCAUACAUUAAAAGACUCAAAACCAAAAAUAUCCAAAAUUCUGAUCGAUCGUCCAGUACAGCAUUUGCCUACUCCAAGUGACUUGUUGAUUUGUCCCACAAGCCAGUCAAAUAAAUUACAAUAAAUUGAUUUUGCCAAUGCAUCCCUGGUGUUGAUUGCCUGCAAUAAGAAAGAGAUACAAGAAAAAAAGACAUAUGAAGAUUGGGCAUUACCAUAUUGAUGGAGAAGAGUACACAUGCAAAUUUGGACCUGCUGUAAUGUAAGCUUUUGAACAAUACUGUCGUUGCCAGCUUGAAUUUUACGAGUUGAUAAAGAUAGCAUCAAAUUUGGUACUUCACAACCCAUCAACUUUGCUGCAUUAGUUACUCCUGCACACAGACAAACUCCCAAAAAAUUACAUGAUAUAUCUUCCAAAAUGAAAGAACUUUAACUGCCUCCUUUAAUAUAAUAAAAUGUGAAUAUGAAAACUUAUUAUCUAUUAAUCUUUUAGCCUAAAGAAGAUUAAAUUUUCUUCAUCCUCUCAUACCCAGUAAAUUGCAACAUACUAGACUUUUGUUACCUCAACUAGACUUUGGAAUAAAAACAAAGUAAUAUUGUGGUAUGGCUUCUCAAAAGAAUUGCACCAAGUUCCAUAAUUGUUUGGAGCGGGAAAACCAUAUUUUUAUUAUGAUAUGUCAAUUAUGUUUUUGAAUGAAGCCUUCAUAAUUUUGUAUUUUCAACUUGGAUGGCAUAACUCAAUAACACUGGCCAUUCAAACUCUAAACUUUAGAUAAGGGUAUUUAACCAAGCAUGUGAUUUGCAUUCAGCUAGAGUUCUUGUUUCUUAGGUUAAACAUAGAAACUUCUCCAAUACAAGUGCUGGACCAGUAAGUAGCGUCAAAAUUCAUUUGAAGCUUCUAAUGUUAAACAAACAUGCAAGAGGCAUCAUCAAAGAGUUUGAGGCACCAAAUACUGGGAACAAGAGAAGAGACAGCGAUUUAUGUUACACAUAUAAAAUAGUAUACCUUCACCAAGGAUAACUUUGACAUGAUUUUCGUUGUCAAUCACUGAGAAAGCAAUGUUACCCAGCCAUAGUACUGCUGCAAGCAUGGAGAACACAUUCUUCUGAUCUUCCUUUGAGAUCUUGAUGACAUCUAAGGCUUCCUGGAGAAUUUUUUUUCUAAAAAAUUUAAUGCCAAUUUUUUUAAAAAAACUUCAAUAAAAAAGUUCAAGGUAAUAUAAAAUGGGCCUAGGUGAGCUACUGAAAUUUACCAUUAAUACAUGAAAUCUUUUUGCAUCAUCAACAUUAUCUAUGGUCAAGCAGUCACUCUGCUUCAAGUAUUCAUAUUUGUAGGCUGCUUUCAGAUUCAACUCCUCUGCAUAACAAGAGACACAUGAUAUGACAUAAGUUUACAAGAGACACAUGAUAUGACUAAAGAUUUUCAGAUUUACGAGCCUAUCAGGAUAACUGAGUAAAUGCAGUAACUGAAAAAGUUUGUAUUUGCUAAUAGAACAGAAAAACAAUUUACAAGGUAUUUAUCUGGGUGUUUCCAAAUUAUUCUACCCUCAUCAUCAAAUCUUUUGACUGAUUACUGACACAAAAAAUGACUUAUUUUAUCAUUUUACAGCUUGCAAUUUUUGUAUUAAUUAAUUAUCCUUGCUAUAAAUAGGGAAAACAAAAUAAAAAGAAAUCUGCACUAUAAUAGCAUCAGAAAGUACCCAUAAUAUAUCUUAAACAUCAAAUAAGGGAAUAAUAACAAAAUUUAACAACUAAGGCCAUAAUAGAAAAACAUGAUCACCUUUAAGACCACAAGAAGCUCCAGCACAAAGUUGAUAGAAUACAUGAUAUGACCUUUCACCUGUUUCUCUCUGAACCACUCUUGACUGCUUGUACAAGAGAAAAUUUUCAUACACCAUUAAAUAUCAUAUCAAUAACAUUAUUCUAAUUUAAGAUAUCUUUUAACCUUUGUAGGAGUACCUUUUCGAGUAAGACUUGCAUGCAUCAAAGUUUGAAGAAUAAGAGAGGAGAAAAAGUCAGUUGAUAUAUAAAACAUAAAAUGAGAAGCAGCAAACAGGCAUAAUUUCUUACAGGUUUGGAUCUUAGCACCACAAAUUUUUCCAGUGGCACUAAAAUGUAUUUCAAUUAGCUUUCCCUGCAGCAUAUAAAUAAACAUAUUUUCAAACAAUAAUCAAAUUGGAAGCUCCAUAUUGGCAUUACUGAGGGUUACAUGUCCAUUAACAAGUAAAAAAUCUGGUGAAAAUAAAUAAAAUUUUCAGUGGACUUGGGCAAACUCACAAAUCGGCUGGAGUUGUCAUUUCUUGAAGUUUUUGCAUUUCCAAAUGCUUCCAGUAUUGAAUUAGUCUGCAAAACCUCAUCCUCUAUGCUGCCACCACCCCCAACAUCUGCAAGAUACUGCAUUGCAAAUUUCGUUGUCUCGGUUUUACCAGCACCACUUUCACCACUGUGACUCAUUACACAGAAUAGUUCAUCAAGCAAAGCUAACUCAAUUUUUCUAUCUAAUUAACAAGCAGAAGAAGCAUAAAUAGGUUAAAGUUUCACAUAUUCCUACGGAGAGAAAAGAUAUAACCACCUUAUUAUGAUAGAUUGAUCUACUCCAUCUGCAGAACCCGCACACAGGAAUUAUCAAUUAGUCCAGAAAUUCAUGUAACCACUAAUGGGCAUAACUAAGAGAACUGCACAAUUUUCAACAAAAGACACUUGUCUACCUCUCAUCAUUUCAUUAAAAGCAGUAUCCGCUAUUGCAAAAAUAUGUGGGCUGUCUUUGAGUUUCUGCUUGUAAGCUGUAACAUAAUCUCUUCCAUAAAGGGGCACCUCUUUGAAUGGAUUGACUGCAACCAAAACAGGCCCUGCUUUGGUCUAAAGAAAGGAAAAGAAACCAGCAAAUAAGUUAAAGCAUAGAAAACACAGGAAGAGUUACCGGGAGUAAUGUCUGUUCAAAAACAUGCUUACAUAAAUAAAAUCAUUGGCAUAUCGGUAUUUAAUAUUGUGGAGAACUGCAGGUUCAUUUAAGUAACUAAGUUGUAUAAGAUUGUCAACACCAUCAAGGAUAUGUGGAUUGGCAGGUAAGAUACUUUCCCUGGAAACUGAAUGAACCUGAAUAGAAACACUAGUUAGUACUUGGGUGCCAUUCAUUCAAAUGCUGCAGACUUACAACCUACAGAUUAAAAACUUACAUUGCCAUUAGACAGCAAAAUAUCUACAUAAUCUCUGGAAAUUGUAUGGAUCUGGCCCAGCUCCCACCUGGCAUUGGAGAUCCAACACCAAACCUGCAGGUUCUGAAAUGAAGAAGACACCAUAAGUAACGUGCUUGACAAAUUUCCUAAAGAAUAAAUAUGCCAAAGAAUCAAGCAUAAAUUUUGUACAUGUCAGAGGAAGUUCAACCAUUUUAGAUCUGAAACGGUGCAGCAGAAUUACAUGUUGAUUUAAGCAAAUCUCCAAUGUCAUUAUAGUGAAUUAAUUCCAUGAAUCCACGUCAAAGUUACCAUGUUUUUCCUUGGAAAAGAAAAGGCUAACAUGCUUGGACAAAAUAAAAUGAGUCACAAAUUCUGAACCAUGUCAUGGCAACGACAGCAAUGUUUCUUGUAAUCAAGCAAAUCAGAGAACAUAAUGAUGACAUUUUCUGAAAAAUACUAAUACCUUCUUUAGGGCAUAUUUAAUUGUGUCACACCAUUCUGACUUGUCAUCCAGCAACACUGCUGAUGGCAACUGGACAGCAGCACUCGCUCGAUUAUCGGUUACCUCCACUUUUUCCUCAUAACUGUCUCUCUUUGUAAUCUUGAUAUAUGGAGAUUCUAAUGGUCGCUCCACCUUUGCCAUCCUCUUACUUUGAAGUAUUCCACUUCUAAACACCGCCCCCUUAUCACCCCUUGGCAUGUCAUAUUCCGUCUUGUCAUCCCACUUCAUAGAGUCCGUCAAAAGUUCCUCAGGUGCACUUCUGUCUAGUUUAAGAUUGACGGCCAACGACCUUCUUGAGGUGGGGAGGCGUCCCCUCGAGGUGGGGCGGACCGGCAAAGCCGGUGGCAGAUCUUUUGGCUGCUCAUCCCUCAGCCUGAUAGUAUCCAGCAUCACCUCCAGUGAGCUCCGAGCGACGGUAGGAGUCAUAGUGGCAGCUGACAUGAUUCCAAACCCCCAAAUUGAAAAUAACUACCAAAAUGACAACUUUCUCAAUGCAGAACAAGAAAGCCGCAAUCUUUUUUGGAGUUCCUGCAGUACAGAGUCAAAAAGAGAUAUUUCCUGCGGAUUUAGUUCAAGUAACACGACCCUGUAACACUAUACUCGGAACACAUUGAGCACAGGGGAACCAAAUAAGAACCUGGAAUCUAUCCCGCCCUUGCCGAAGACCCUGAAACUUGGAAUCAAGGCAACGCCCACGCAAGAAAGCCUUCAUCACCGAGGACAGGGAGGAAGGCGGAGAUGGAGAUCACCGUAAUGCUCCAAAAAUCAAACUAAAACCCGAGUUACCAGCGUUGCUGUAAGAAGAGAUGGGGGCUAAAAAACAAAAAAAAGCUUCCUUUGAAGGGAAAACUAGGGUUUGUUUCCCCGGGAAUUCAAAUUUUCGCAAUGGAGCACGGGACCCAUCCGUCCCUUUUCUUCUACUUCUCCACAGUAACAGCAGAAAUCAAGAAAACGAAAGCGACGGGUUCUCGAAAGGAAAGCCCUUCGAUGUGGAGAAAAUUACGCGCACGGGCAAUGGCAAGGAGACGAGAGGCGCUCGUGCUUGAGAUGGCGGUUCGGGUAAUUCGCGAGACGGGAACGGCACUGCCCUUCGGCCCACCGUCAAUGUCGAAGGGGUCCGUUCGAAGCCCGUUGGAUGUCGAGGGUCGAGAGCGCAUCUCCAACGUUCCACAACAAGCGAACGUUCCAUGUGACGGCAUCGACCUCAUAUCAGCCACCAGAAAAGAACUCAUUCCGCUGAAGCUUCUGUUGCAAGCAGCAGCCAAAGAAAGGUAUCAUGAGCUUAUCUUAGAAGUUCCAAGUCACAUAAUCUUGCACGAGAACGCUGGUCGACGGAAAGAAAGAGACUCUAUGGUAGGUUACAUGUAAUAUAUUGACAGGACCAUUGGGUUUGAACGUGUUCUUGCUCAGGAGAAGUAGCUGGGAAGAUUGAAAUUUUCGAUUUGUUUGGAUCAGUGUCGGAAUCAUAAUCUCCAGUAUGCAUUCCCCAUCGAAUGGCAUAUUUCAUUCGAUCGGCUGCAUGACAUCAAUUAAGUAAUGUUUAUGAUUUAGAAGGGAUCAGAUAUUUGCAUCUGUUCUUCGAGCCGAAUCGAACCCGAUGAAUCAAAUCUAUCGUUACUUGGAGACGUUGGAUCGGACCACCCGACCAUCACACGGUACACAAUCGACGGUGCCAAGCACAUAAAGCCGAGAACACCCCGAAUAAUUUUCGUUCGACGCGCUUUCGCUGCCCGAACGAUCCACCUUUCUUCUGAUUGGAGGAAUCGAAUAACGCGGGUCCCACAUGAACGCCGUUGUCUUUCUAUUUGCGCCGAAUGGGUGAAAAGAAACGGUGAAUCGAGCGCACCCUGCACGCAAAUUGGGACCGUUGGUCGAUGAAUCCCACGAAUCUCGAAGCAGCCGUCGCAGUCGGGAAGCCAUGACGUCAAGACAAAGGCAAAGACUAAAGAUUCCGAGCCCCCCAGCCGACACCCAUGUCUGUCACCGGAUCGAUCCUGACCGUCAAACGCGCACAUAACAGUGUAUGCGCCGAUCGUUCGUUUCUCGCUUUUUACGGUGUCUUUUUGGUAUGAUGGUUUGUGUGCGUCCGAAGCGCUGCUGUUGAUAGUAUUAAGGGAUAGCACCAACUCGUUUUUAUGUAUGGAGCUUCCGCACCCUCCCCUUCGUUCUCUCGUUCGUCGUCCUCGAUUCUUUCUCCUCCUCGAUCGGGCGAACCCAAUCCAACUCACCAGACCCCUCAUAGCUCUCUUCCUCACUCUCAUGGCUUCCAAUUUACGGCUUCGUGAUUCUUGAUUGGGAGCUCUCGACCAGGAUCUGCGGUUUCAUCUCUUCUUAUUCUCCUACCAUCUCGUCUUUAUGUCGUCGCCUACAUCGGUGUCGCUGUCAGGGGGCAAGAUCUGCUUCAACUCCCAUUGCAAGGAGGUUAUACUGGACCACACGCCUCCGCGGAAGAAGGGGGGGUGGCGCCUUCGUUCUGGCGAGAUCGCUGAGCUCUGCGACCGCUGCUCGUGCGUCUUCCCCCUUCUCUCUCUCUCUCUCUCUCUCUCUCUCUCUCUCUCUCUCUCUCUCUCUUGUUUUUUUCGUUUUGCAAAUCUCCCUUUUUACUGUUAAGAAAAAGGUCUUUUCCACGUUGGAUGGUUUCUAUAAAUGAAUUUGGUUGUUCUGGAGUUGGGCGCUUCGGUGCUCAGAUUUGAUCGGGCGAUGCUACUUGCUGCAUCAUUAGAUCAUCGGGGGCCUGCGGCUGCGGCGGCUGUUCUUUUAUCGACAUUCCCUUCCUUUUGUUAUCCUGACUUUGAGGUUUUCAUCUUUACGUACUAACAGUCUAUUAGUCGUGUUAUGUUGUGAUUGCUUGCUGAAUUGGUGUUCUGUCGUUGCGGAUGGAGAAAAGGUCACAUAUUUGAAAUAUGUUUCUUUUAUACGUUUUUUUUUUCGUGUUGGGAAGGGCGGGGGGGUUGAGGGAGGAGGCGGGGGCUGAACGUAUGUAAGGAAGUGCAAUAGGAUGGUACUUUUUCUGCUUGUGAUAUUGGAUAUGCGGUUCUGAAGGGUCGAACUUCCUUUUUGUUUCUUGGUCUACUGUUGUCUUCAAUUUGUGCUCUUCGUAAGAUUUGGUUUCGUGUCUUUGUGGUGAUGGAUGUACGGUUCUAAAAGGUUGAGCGUUCUUUUUUUUUCCUUUUUCUACUGUUCUCGUCAGUUAGUAGUGCCCUUCGUAAAGAUUUGCCCGGGAUUUUUUUCGUUUCCCUGUAGCUGCGCUUUUGAGCAAGGGUCUUUCUGCGAGACGUUUCACUCUGAUGUUGCUGGUUGGAGGAACUGUGAGGCGUGUGGCAAGGUUAGAAAAUAAAGUCUCAGUUUUUAUUCUAAUCAGUAAGAUUAGCAUGUGCGCGUCUGGCCUCACCCCGAAAUGUUAAUAACACAAAAUGUUGCUGGUGGCUGUUUAUGUGGUAUAUCUUGGUUUGCAGCGGGUGCAUUGUGGGUGUGUUGCCUCAGCCCCUACGUACGUGUUUCUUGAUGUUGGAGGAGUUGAGUGCAUUGCAUGCGCUAGGAAAUCUCUUGCGAUGGUGAGCUCAAUAAUGCUUUUGUGGUGAUUGUUAUGCAGUAUCUAAAGGUUGCACUGUUACUUUCUAUAUAUUUUUUCUGGUAUAUGAUUGUUCAUGCUGCACCACAUUUGAAAAUUUUUGUUGGUCAAAAAAUAUUUAAUUGGCUUUUUUGAUACGAGAGCAUAGAGUUUAAAAUGUAAGGUUAAUUACCUAAUUUCAUUAAUUGUAGGCACUCCGUACUAGUUUCGUUGCUUCUGGUUGUUUUAACAAAUGCCUGAUAAAAUAAAUUCCUUGUUCACGCAAAGUUUUUGACCCUGUCACUCCUAUAUUCUCCUUGAGUCCCUUCCGUCCAAAUCUUUAAACAUGACUAAUGACAGGUAACUGUGUAGGAAAGAGGUCUGAGAAUGGUAUGACAUGAUCCUAUUAUUUUUUGUGUGCACAUUAGGAGAAAUGCAACUAAUUUUGCAAGUCAAAACUUGGAUAAUUUAGCUGCUGUACUCAUCUGACCUAGUUUUAAUAUAUUAGCCCAAAUGUCUAUUUCCUAUUUAUAUCAUCCUUUGUGCUUAUUCCAGAUAAUGUUAGCUCCAGAUAUAGACUUCCGAGAGCAAUUGUUUUGGUUGCAUAUUAGUUUUUACCACUUACCCAAUUCUUUUGCUUUAUGGUUGCUCUUACUAUAUUAGGCACCAAAUCAAAUGUUGUCUUCUCCUAUGCUUAUGCACCAACAUGUAUCUGAGAGGAGAGAUUUACCUGUUAAAUCUGGGAGACCGAUAACCAGUCCAUUUUCUGGACAGUGGCGUCAAGCUCCACAUAUGUGGAACAUGACAAGCUUGCAGUCUGACUUACAGCAAAGGCUAUCAUAUGAAUUUGACAGACCUAGUAACAUUGAAAAAUUGGCACCUGGAGGCCGCCAUUCUAUAUCAGCACAUGAAAAGAAAUUUGAAGAACUACCCGAAAGAAUAAUGUCUGGCAGCCAUAACAAUAUUGCACGAGACAGAUAUGCUCAUGGGAACACAGGUUUGGAGUCAUUUCCUUCAUACAAUAAAUAUAAAGAAGAAGUAAGAAACACUGAUGUCUUGCUAAAAUCUUUCUUGCUUGUAGGAGAAAAUGAUCCUGAUUCUACAAGGAAAUCAGUAAUUCCAGAUCCUUGUUCAACCAGUUCUGGAGUUAAAAUUGAAGCAAAAGCAAAUUCAUCUAUCAAAUUGCAACCUUUACCUAUUUCAAAAGAAGACUCUUCUCCACUUAUUGGGUUGGCGGCUCCCUUUUCAUCGACAAAUGGAUCAAGGGAGCCAAUGAAGUUCUUGUCAAACCAACCACCACAACUAACAACUUCUCCAUUACCAAAGCAGUUUUACCCCGAGGGUAUCGCAGAUACUGAACUGCAAAUUCAAAUGCGCAAUGGAAGAGCUAGAGUGGAUGCCCGUUCACGAACACAAUUGCUUCCUCGAUAUUGGCCUAGGAUAACAGAUCAAGAGCUACAACAAAUAUCUGGGGAGUAUCCUUCCACCUUGUUAAUCAUUAUAUAUUUGGUUUAGUCAUUGUUAAUCUAACCUUGAUUUGUUGACAUUCUAUUCAUAUUAUUUCUGUCUAAUCCACUGAAGCUUUUGCUUGACCUAUUAUAAGUACAAAUUCCGUCAUCACUCCAUUGUUUGAAAAGAUGUUAAGUGCUAGUGAUGCUGGCAGGAUUGGACGUCUUGUGCUUCCAAAGAAAUGUGCUGAGGUGACAUCUUAAACUUUUCAGUUCUUAGAAAUAGAUCUUCAACAAAUCAAGUAAUUGAGCCCUGAAGUUUAUAGAGUAAUUGUUUCCCUAUCUGGUUGUAUUGACAUUACUCUUCUGUUGAGCCAUGUCUCUAGGUGCAUUAUAGUUUCCUACUCACAUCGAAGUGCUGUGUGGCCAUUGCAUCUAUAUCUAUUACCUAUUUUGUUGUUUAAUACUCCUUCCAUUCUUCACAUUCAAAUUUUCUCAUGAUUUGUCAUCUAUUACGCCAAAGCAACUAAACUUUUUUUUGGUUUUUCUUACUUGUCUCCGAGAUGAUCCAUAUGCAGCAGAUGGUCAGCAUGCUGCCUCUUUCAGGGUUAAGUAUAAAAGUUGAACCAAUUUUAUAAGUUCUAAAAUUAGCUCUUUGGUUGAUCUUCACUUCUUAGCUUCAUCCUCUUGACCUCUACAGGUUGUCUUUGAUUCAUUAUUUUUAUGGCCAUACCAUGUGGCUUUUAGUGUAGAACUGAAAUGUUGAAGGGUACAACUGAUGCCAAUGAUGCUUUAAUAAUGAUUGUUGACUUUACUAUAACAAUGCUAUGGAAAGGAAGCAUUAAGUAGAGAGUCUACAACCGAUAUUCAAGAAUGAUGGCUUACUUUCUUGAGUGAUGGCUUAGGGCUCGGCCCAAAUUUUAAUGGAUGCCAAGCCUUAGAAGUUAAUGAUUCAUUUUGCAUGAAAGAAUGUGAAUUUUAAUGGAUGCGAAGCCAUAGAAGUUAAUGAUUCAUUUUGCAUAAAAGAAUGUGUGCUGCAAAUAUCUACAUCUUAUAAUGUUACACUAUAAGAUCGUGAUGGGAUUUUAACAAUUACAUGUAAGCAUACUAGAUCUUAUGUCUGAUACCUUUUUGCAAUGGGAUUGUCUACAUGCAAAUGGAUGAGCUUUUGCGAAAUUUUCUUGAACGUUCUUAUACUUGCCAACCUAACUGGGGAAAACAACUCAACUGCCACACAUAUGUGCCAAUCUGCCUGCAUAUUUUCUGGUUUAGGAUAUCAACUCACCAUGUUAGCCUUCCUGGGCAGAUGAUUGAUAACACAACUACAAUCUUUUACCUACUCAACCAAGUUAUUAUACUUCAAAUUAAA
rnacentral:lncRNA from 1 species